rnacentral:lncRNA from 1 species
CUUUUCUGUUCCUCAUUUGUGAAAUAUUGUGAAAAAUAGUCUGUUUGCCUGUCUGAGAACAGUACUGGCACAAAAGUGCUUAAUACACUUCACUCAUUAUUAUUAAUAUUACUAUUGUUGCAUUUUCCCCUUGAAGGCAUGCUUCUGAUGUGAGUUCAGGAGAAGACACUGGCAAGGACAGCAAAGAACAGGAGAACACUCUAGCUUCCCUGAUAGCAUUCAAGGUGCUGUCCAAACUGACUGUGAUGGCACCCUCCAGACAGACAGCGAUGCCACAUGUUCAAGAUGGCAGAAUCACUAUCAGCUUCAAUUCCUGAAUGACUGCAGAGCAAAAUUUCUUACCCGCAACAUACACUCUAUUUUCA